CAUGGAACCUGAUGGUAAGUCCUCGAUCUUCCUCUUCCUUUCUCUUUUUUCUUGUUCGCUCUAUGUUAUGGUGAUUGGGAUUUAGGUUUUUGAAUUCUCGAUCUCAUUGAAAGUUAGGAUAUUAAUUUGGGAUUAAUUUGUCAGGGUAUGAGAAUGUGAAAUUGGGGGUUAGGGUUUCUGUUUCUCAAUUUGAAUUUAUGUUACUAAUGAUUGUUGACAGAUUUCUUCUAUGUUUAAUAUGAGAUUGGAGAUAUAGUUAAAGGGAGGACGGUGAGCAUUGCGGAGGCACAGUUCGCGACAGCAAAAAUGUCACGGUACUCGGUCUCGAUUGUGGAUAGCCAAGCCAUUGCCCAGAACAUAAGGUUUUUUCUCUUAAUUAAACUUGGGAACACUCGAGGUUUUAUCUCAUGUGCCUUAUCAGAUUACAGCCAUCAGAGCAGGCAUCUUCUUCAAUGGAGCAACAAUGGUUGAUCAGAUUGUGACUAUCUGUUGAAUGACCAAAUAAUGAGAUGCCAGUAAGUUUACUUGAAAGUUGUCUGCAAUUUGUUGUUUCCUUUGGCCAAAACUUGCAGUUUAUUAUUGCAAUUUAUGCAGGAAGUAAAAAUGAUGAAAAGUGCUGUUUGUGCUGCAUUUGCUGAAAGAGUUUCAUCAAAUGCUGAGGUAGCUAAUAACACCACCACACAUCUAACACUUUUAAGAAUUGUAACCUGUUGAAAACAAAUUCUAUACAGGGAAGUAAGUACCUUUUUGCUGUAUGUGAGAUUUUGCCUGGAAAUGGAAACAAGUGUAGAGAACUUAUGACAAUAUUUUAGGGUCUUUAUGUAGGUGAAUGUUUAAUUCUUUGGGCUUUUCAGUGACAGAAGGAUGAUUGAAAUUGAUUAUGUUUUCCUGUUAUUUUCGUGUUAACAGUAGCAUCAAUCAUACUAAACUGUGAGUGAGAACUGUUGAUUAGGUAGAAUUAUGUUUGAUUGCGUGAUCUUGAUUUAAAGUCUAGCAAGAGAGCUUUACCCCUUUUGUAUACUUGCACAUUUUACCUUAGUAUACAUCCCUCUCUCACUUUGUCUAAUUCCUAAGGUCACUUUGUUUAUAUAUGAACAUUUUG